rnacentral:rRNA from 1 species
CCUACGGGAGGCAGCAGUGGGGAAUAUUGGACAAUGGGGGGAACCCUGAUCCAGCCAUGCCGCGUGUGUGAAGAAGGCCCUCGGGUUGUAAAGCACUUUCAGUGAGGAAGAACGCCUGGUGGUUAAUACCCAUCAGGAAAGACAUCACUCACAGAAGAAGCACCGGCUAACUCCGUGCCAGCAGCCGCGGUAAUACGGAGGGUGCGAGCGUUAAUCGGAAUUACUGGGCGUAAAGCGCGCGUAGGUGGCUUGAUAAGCCGGUUGUGAAAGCCCCGGGCUCAACCUGGGAACGGCAUCCGGAACUGUCAAGCUAGAGUGCAGGAGAGGAAGGUAGAAUUCCCGGUGUAGCGGUGAAAUGCGUAGAGAUCGGGAGGAAUACCAGUGGCGAAGGCGGCCUUCUGGACUGACACUGACACUGAGGUGCGAAAGCGUGGGUAGCAAACAGGAUUAGAUACCCGAGUGGUC